rnacentral:SRP_RNA from 1 species
GGCCAGGCGCAGUGCAACGGCAGCUUGUGAACCAUGUCAGAUCAGGAAUGAAGCAGCAUUAAGCAACGCGGGCCGUGUGCCGCUGUUAGCCUGGCAUUU